AAAAAUAAGUAAGAAAUAUGUCCUAGAAGAUUGCUAAAAACACUAGGCAAAGCUCAAUAGCAUUUCAGAUAUUCUACAUGAUACAGCAAAUCAGAGACUCUGUUCUUUAUAUAUCGCAUGGAAAGCAUAGCAUAGUACAGAAAUGCUUUCAACACAAAGAAACAUCACGGGGGUUAUAUUUGAUAUUUCCUCUGCAUACUUUUCUACUAGAAAGAAGACGACGAAAUAGUAUGUUAUUUUGACCAGUUUUUGGCUUCAUGGGUUGUUUGUUUUGUAUGUUUUGCAGAGUUCAGGAAGAGGGAAGAGAGAGAAAAACACCCAGAAGGAAGAAGAUCAGAAACCAAAGGAAGUUGUUCAUGUUAGAGCUAGAAGAGGACAAGCUACUGAUAGUCACAGCUUAGCAGAAAGGCUUAGAAGAGGAAAGAUCAAUGACAGACUCAGAUGCUUGCAAGACAUUGUCCCUAGAUGCUUAAGAGCAUGGGAAUGGCAGUGAUGCUGAAUGAGAUAAUUAAUUAUGUCCAGUCCUUACAAAAUCAGGUCGAGGUGAGUCAAAAUUAUAAUCACCUAUUUGCCUUUCAAGUUACAAUUAAGGAUUAAUUUGAUAUAUUUUUACAUUUCUUUGAAUUUGUGUUUAGUUCCUUUCUAUGAAGCUUACAGCAGCAAGCUCAUUUUAUGAUUUCAAAAGGAAAGCACACACAGAAAUGCUAGUUGUCUCUGACUAUUCGCGAUAAAUCUAGAUCCUAGAGGGUUGGCAAUUUGCUGCAUUAAACUCCAGCUAGGUCUCUUUACUAGAGAAAACAAAAAAUACAAAAUUGCCGAAGGUUUCAGGAUUAGAACCCAAUAAAACUAAGCAAGACCGCUGGGAGGGAAUAACUCAUUACAUUUAAAAAAAUAAUUCAGAUAAAAAAGAAUCGCACCCAUUAUCUUUCUUUUUCCAAAAACUUAACCAGCAAACACAAAAAUUGCAACACAGGGAAACAACUUAUACAGAUUGAAUAAGCAAAAUCAUACCCAACGCAAUAGUAUAAAAAAAAAAACAUUUAGCUAAAUUCAGCAGACUGUACAAAACAUUGAACUACGUUUGGUUUCUAAGAAAAUCCAAGAAAGUAGAAGAAUUGUAUGCAAAGACAGAAAGAGACAUACCAUUUUUGCCUCGUCUUGCAGGAAAGCUUGUAGGGCAGAGGACCGGAGCGAUAAAUCUAGAUCAAAGGUUCAAUUUGAAAGUUUGCAGUCUUAAAGAGUUCCAAAGUAGAACGAAAGAGCAGCCAUGAACUCAAACCCACAAUGCACUGACAAAAGUAGCUUACCGUGGACGGUGGAUGGAGUUGGACUGCUAUGGUGAGCUGCGAAGGAACGACUGCUUGGUGAGCUUCAAAUGGAGAGACUUGGUUUUCUGCAUGCAUGAUCAGGGAGAGAGAGAGAGAGAGAGAGAGAGAGAGAGAGAGAGAGAGAGAGAGGUCUAGGAUUUGGAAGUUGGAAUGGAGUCAUUGGGCUGCUCUUUCGCCAGUUAAACAGCAGGUUGGAUGAUUUCCAACCCAUUGUUUAGUUGAACCCAUAUUUAAUGGGGCGGGCUGGACGGAUUUAUUGAACAGGUCGGGUUAUAGCGUUUUUUUUUUUUUUUUUUUUAAUUUUAAAACAAGGCCUAAAUAGUACAACUUGAUUAAGAAAUGUAUUCAUUACAUACAACACAAAGGUAUUGAUACUAAAACUGUAAUAGCUUAAGAACAUGUUGAGAAAAAAAAAAAAAAGCUUAAGAACAUGGCAAAUGAUUUUGUGCAUAAUUAUUUCAAUUCUAUCAAUAUAAAACUUUAAUGAAAUAGUUAUGUAUUCACAACACAGUAUAACUCUCUACAGAUGACAUAGAAUUGCAUCUCAUUGAGUACAAAUCAAUAGCCAUCCACCUAGAUACAAGAGAGACAUCCUUUGUGACCUGAAGCAAUAGAAAGAAAAUCACUUGAUGCCAUCAUCUACUUCAGUAGCAAAAGCACAGUGAAAUUGAAGCAUUGGUUUGUAUCAUAAUCUGUGCUAGCACAUUUUAAAGGAAAAAAUUCUUUAGCAGAACACCACCCAAAUUAAACUCUUAAAACGUAGAAUAACAAAGACAGCUUCCACCACGUUAUGUGACUUUCCAAGAUAUCACAAACAUUACAUUAAUGUAGAGAAUUGGUUCUAACAGUUAUGUCUGCUUUAAGCAAAUCAAUAUUGAUAAUAAAAUGAGACAGCAUACGUAUACACAUCUUAAAUUGGAAGAGAAAAAGGAUAUUUACACCACCUACAUAUUUUAAAACGUGAAACAAAGAUACAAGCUCUUAAAGUUUUUUUUUUUAAUCGGUAAACAAUUUUUUAUUGAUUAAAAAAAAUAGAGCUCUUCAAAAUAAUGUAGAGAAUUACCAACUAUUCCAAAAACUGCUCAGAUCAUUACUAAUCAAAAUAAGGAAGGAGAAAUUACAGUUUUCUCCAUUAAUUUUGUGAUAAGCAAUAAGAUUUUCCUUGUAAGUGCAAAAGGAAAAUCCAAGUACCAUGAGAUGUGUAAAAGAAAGUUGCCAAGCAAGAAAUAGACAAAGAAAAAGAUACAAGAAAAUCAUGGUAACUAAGCCCAUUAAAACCUAUGGAAGCUGUCAAAGGAGGAGAGUGUUGAGAAAGAAAGUAUUCAACUACUCCAUCAUGUAUUCACAGUCCUCAAAAUGUUUUCAUUCUUUUCUCACCAAUUACCCCAACUAAUGCAUGUAGGAACCAUUUUCCACACAACUGAAAUUUGUUGGCUACCACCUAAAUCCUAAUCCUCUUAAAAGGGUGAAAAAGAUCCACUAUGCCUCUUCGUUAAUAUCAGGGGAACAUUUCAGAAAUUAAUUGCGUGCAGACAGUUUUCUUUUUCAAUAUAUUCCCGUUCAAAAGAAUGACACGGGCCUUCUCUACAAUGUUUCUAGUAUGUUGUCAAACCAUGAUCCUACAGGACCAUACACUACAUCUACAUUCAGAAGGUCAGUAAUAUACACCAUGCAAGCUUAAUCAAGGGAAAGAUAUCAUCUCAUACAAAGGAAAUCAUUUGGAAGAGGAACAAUUAUAAACAUGUUGAAGAUAUUAUCACAAAGAAGCAGGAUAAAUUAAUUUCACAGAUAAAAAAUUUUAGACAACUUACCUUUGCUGUUACAUUCGGAUUUCCAUCUCUAUCACCUCCCAUCCAAGACCCAAACUUAAUUAGUGUGCAAGUUAACGAAAGAGGCCUUCCAGUAUGCUGUGAGGGAAAAAGUACGAGUAAGAAAGAAAAUCUAUCAGAAAAAAGUGUAACAAAAACAGUAGCUACCAAACACGCAACCUUCUUUAAGGCAUUGCUGAGAAGGCAUUAGCAAUGUGGUACAGCUUUCCAAGCGGACUGCUCCACAAUGUUCAAGCCUGGGAUAAUAAAAUGAACAGGUGCAGCUACGUUUAUAGGAUUUUACAGAGAAACAGAACAUGUGGUAUAUAACAAUUCUUAGCUUCUCGUAGCUUCCGGCCCUGGCUUCUUCAGUAGGCGUAGGUUUGUAGCACCUAAGCUCGUCUGUCUGCCAGAUUGAAGUUAUUUCUCUCAACUACAAAAACAAGACUGAAUCUGUGACUCACAUGCCAUAUCAAAGUUUUGUCUCUUACCUACAAAAGCCGUAUACAAUCUGAGAAUCAAAUAAAUGCAAGAAUUCCACAAUUUUUCUCCACAUUAUCUUAUAGAUACAAGCAGUACCCCCACCCACCACACACUGACACACUUGGAAAAGAACUUUAGGAGGGAUGCUAUGCCAAUAGGAAAACAAUGCCAGAUCUUCGAUCAGCAUUUCUCGAUCUUUAUGUAGUCUAAGAGACGCUAAAAGGAAAGGCAACGUUAGAAUAAAAGAAAACCCAAAACGAUAUUAAGAUAUAAUAUUUCAAUGUGCUUAUAUUGUAAUGUGUGACGAUUAAUUUGUGUGGGAUGUACAUUAAGAACAAAUUCAACCUCCUACAGAACAAUCAUUCCAACAUCAAGAACAAUAAUGGACAAUAAAAAAAGAUAAAAUCUAAUCUUGCCAUAACAGAAGCUCUAUUCUAACAAUUUUCCUAGCUGAGGUUAGUGGAGUAAUGCAGUUUCUAGACUCCCAAAUGACAUUUUUUUUUUCUUGCCAAAGGAAAAGAAAAUAAACAACAAGUUGUAAUUUUUAAGAGUUCAUUCUUCUAUAGUGUUGCUUAUCAAGACAAAGUAAUCAAGAAAAAAAAAAAAAAAAAAGAGAAGCAGAAGCCUAAGAACCAAAAAAGAGACCUGAUUGCAAACUGUAUCAUAAAGCUCAUCUGGGGAAACUCCACCAUGCACCAGCUGAUUAAAAAUGUCGUCACAAGAUUUUGAUAGAGCGCCACACUUUGUACCUUACGAACCCUGCAGAUCCUACCACUCUCUGAAUUAAACUGAGAAAUUCAACUCAUCAAAUUUUUUAGGAAUCAAGAACAAAACGAAAAAUCUUUCAGUAGCAAUGCUUUAACCACUGGUGGAAAAAGUUAAGAGGAAGGUAGCAGGGUGGAAAUGGAAGCUGUUUUCAUCUGGUGGUAAGCUUGUAUUAUUAAAACAGGUCUAGUCUUCAAUGCCUAUGCAUAUACUCCUGAAUAUACACCCCAAAAAGGUUAUUAAUCAGCUUCAUCAGGUUUUCUCAACCUUUUCCAUUUCAGACUCUCUGAAAGUGCAUGGAAAAUUAGUGAAGGCAAAAUAAACUUAUGGUCAGAAAACUGGAGUUGAGAAGGAUCUAUAUGAUUCAUUCAGACGGGUUAUUCAGCUGUACAACCUGCUCUAUUGUAAAAAGAUCUCAUUGAAGGUGCCCGCUGGAAUGUAACUUUAUCGAACCAGCAUGGAGGCAGUUGAUUAGCGCAGGAAGUAUCCAAAUUCCCCAUUUCUUUGAGAUUAGGAGCAGAUCAGAGUCUGGAAACACACAAAGGAAGGGAAUUUUACCAUGAAAUCUGCUUGGCAGGUAUUGGAAAAGCAUACCUAGAUUUUUUGCGAGCCAAAGUAAUUUGAUCACUCUUAAGUAUUUGUUUGGAGAUUAGCAUUUGAUGCUAUAUCUAUUGAUGCAAUUAUCAGAAGAUGUGACAUUCCAUUAGUUUCAAAAUGUCAUUGCUAUAAAUGGCAACUAAUAUUGAAAAUAUUGAGCGCUUAUUUGCUGAAGGAGAUUAAGCUUGUUGGUAUGGGAGCAUUUUACUGCAAUCCUUGGUUUUUCAAAUUUUUCAUUACUAUAGAAAGACAGGUUUUUGAGAUGGCGAUCAAGCUUCUAUUUUGGUUUUCAUAACUCCUGUUUUUACUUUACAGGGGACAUAUGGCUAGCUCGAAAUGCAAAAUGGUAAGGAACCUGUGGCUGCAGCAGUAGUUCAGAAGAUAAAACUUUUGCUUUUGUGUAAUUGAGUAUAAUGGCCCCAUUAAGCCACCUCAGCAGCUUCGAUUUCAUGCUCAGAUCUCUCUACAGGUUCUGGGUAGUAAUCCUAUUGAACUCUGGGUUAAGAGACCUUUAACAGUGACUUGGCAGCCUCUUUCUGGACAUUUAAAGUUUAGCAUUGAUAGGUCUUCUCUUGGAAAUCCUGGAAUGGUAGGAUGUGGUGUUGUGUUGAGGAAUGCAGAUAGCAAGCUUAUUUUUGCAUUUUCACUUUAUUUGGGAAAUGGAACUAACACACUGGCAGAGUUGAUGGCAUUGAAACAAGGUUUGUUGAAUUGUUUACAACUAGACUAUUCGAAUAUUCUCUUUGAAACUGAUUAGCCAUUGUUGUUCAAUGGUUUCAUAAUUUCACUCCACCUUGCGAUUUUUCA